rnacentral:rRNA from 1 species
AACCAGACUCCUACGGGAGGCAGCAGUGGGGGAUAUUGCACAAUGGGGGGAACCCUGAUGCAGCGACGCCGCGUGGGUGAAGGAGCGUUUCGGCGCGUAAAGCCCUAUCGGCAGGGAAGAAGAUGACGGUACCUGACCAAGAAGCCCCGGCUAACUACGUGCCAGCAGCCGCGGUAAUACGUAGGGGGCAAGCGUUAUCCGGAUUUACUGGGUGUAAAGGGGGCGCAGACGGCAAUGCAAGCCAGGAGUGAAAGCCCGGGGCCCAACCCCGGGACUGCUCUUGGAACUGCAUGGCUGGAGUACAGGAGGGGCAGGCGGAAUUCCUAGUGUAGCGGUGAAAUGCGUAGAUAUUAGGAAGAACACCAGUGGCGAAGGCGGCUUUCUGGACUGAAACUGACGCUGAGGCACGAAAGCGUGGGGAGCGAACAGGAUUAGAUACCCGAGUAU